UAAACAAAUUCCCUAUAGAAGAAACUUAGACAUGACAAGUAGAUGGUUGAUAUUGUGAUAUAUAUGUCUCACCUCCAAAAGUGUCAUCGUUCCAAACAGUGAAGCUUGAGUGUU
rnacentral:sRNA from 1 species